rnacentral:rRNA from 1 species
GUAAAAUUUCAUUUUUAUAUAGUUAAAUAUUUUGUAUAUAGUAGUAUAGUAAAGAAAAUUUCUUUGAUUUAAAAAAAAAUUAAUUUUGCUUUGAAAUAUUUUAAAUAUAGUAUUUUUAAUAACUAGGCUUCAUACCUUUUGUAUUAGUGGCUAUAGAAUUUCAUUUUGAUAAAAGAUUCUCGAAAAAUAAAGAUUUACUUUUAACGAAAAAUAUAAUAUCAUUUAUUUAAUGAAGUUGAAAGUGGAGAAGAAAUUUCUUUCGGUUUAUUGUAUCUAGUUACUUUAAGCUAAACAUAGUUUAGUCAAGUGGCAGUUAUUUUAAAAUAUUUUUAAGAUAAUAGUGUUUGAAAAAAAUCUAGGGGGAUAAGCUUUUAGAUAAUUUGACUAUUACAUAAGAGAUUUAUUUGUUGUUAUUACUUAUAUGUUUGAAUAUGGUUAAUAAGUAGUUUGUUAUUAUUACCUAAUUGAGAUAGUUUAUUUUUUUUUUAUUAAUUUUGAUAAAAGUUAAGGGUUGAGUAAAAUAAAAAUUAAAAUAAUUAGAGCAUGAGUAGAAGGUUGAUAAAUGACUUCAGGUCUUAAAAAAAAAUAUUUUUAUAAAUUCGGCAAAAUAAAAUAUCGAAUGUUUAUCAAAAACAUUUCUAUUAAUUUAUUUAUAUAGUAAAGCCUGCCCACUGGAAUUUCUAAAGGGCCGCGGUAUUCUGACCGUGCAAAGGUAGCAUAAUCAUUAGUCUCUUAAUUAGGGGAUAGGAUAAAUGGCUAAACGAUUUUUUUCUUUAUUAAAAUUUAUAUAUUAAAAUUAAAUUUUCAGUAAAAAUGCUUAAAUAUAACUAAUAGACGAUAAGACCCUAUAGAUCUUUAUUUUGCUUUAAUUAUUAAGUCAAUUGGGGGGUUGAUUUAAUAAUUAAAGUAAAAUUUUAUUGGGGCAAUAAUAGAAUAAACAAAAAUUCUUUCUUCUAUUUGUGAAGGUAAAUAGUUCAACUUUAUUUAGAAAAAUAAAAAGUUACCUUAGGGAUAACAGCGUUAUAUAUUUGGAGAGUACUUAUCGAUAAAUUAUCUUGCGACCUCGAUGUUGAAUUAAAGUUUUCUUAGUGAGCAGAAAUUCUAAUACAAUAGUCUGUUCGACUAUUAAAGAUUUACAUGAUUUGAGUUCAAACCGGCGUAAGCCAGGUUGGUUUCUAUCUUUAGUAUUAUAAUAAAAAAUCUAGUACGAAAGGAUUUAUUUUUUAAAAAAUUUUU